rnacentral:rRNA from 1 species
CCCUUAGAUGUUCUGGGCCGCACGCGUGCUACACUGAGUAAUUCAAUGGGUAAGGGAACGCUAGAGCAUUACCUAAUCUUGAAAUUUGCUCGUGAUGGGGAUCGACGGUUGCAAUUUUCCGUCGUGAACGAGGAAUACCUUGUAGGCGCAUGUCAUCAUCAUGCGCCGAAUACGUCCCUGCCCUUUGUACACACCGCCCGUCGCUCCUACCGAUUGAAUGAUCCGGUGAGGCUCUGGGACCUGGACGGAAAGAGCGUUUCGCUUGUUCUGUUUGGGAAACUUGGUCGAACCUUAUCAUUUAGAGGAAGGAGAAGUCGUAACA